rnacentral:lncRNA from 1 species
UUGCACGAUAGGAAAAACACAAUUUAUUUAAGAGCAUAAUAUGGUGCAAGGCACAGGUAGAAAGGAUUUAUUUUUUCGAGCCACAGAUAAAAUUGAGCACAUACCAUACAAAACAAGAUGGCACAAGCAGGUACUCCCUCCUUCCGAAUUACUUGUUCCGAAUUACUUGUCGUAGGUAUGGAUAUAUUUAGAUGUAUUUUAGUUCUAGAUACAUCUAUUUCUGCGACGAGUAAUUUAGAACGGAGGGAGUAGUAAUAUUGUCUCAUGGCUGUGCCCAACCUACAGAAGUAUGCCCGCCAAAAAAAUUGCCCCAAUUACAACAAAUAAUGUGAUUAUUGUAACAACGUCAAGAGUACCACAGCAAAUGUAAGCUACGGUAAAAAUCGCUUAAAACUCUGUCUACCAAAAACAACCACGGGAGUGCAAAGCUGCUGGAAAGUUAUUAAAUGUGUCGAAUAAGGAUUGAUACUCUCGUCUCCAACUGGAGAUCUUAUAUGCCAAUCUUCUUCUGGUACUUCUGG